rnacentral:rRNA from 1 species
AAGUCGAGCGGUAGAGAGAAGCUUGCUUCUCUUGAGAGCGGCGGACGGGUGAGUAAUGCCUAGGAAUCUGCCUGGUAGUGGGGGAUAACGUUCGGAAACGGACGCUAAUACCGCAUACGUCCUACGGGAGAAAGCAGGGGACCUUCGGGCCUUGCGCUAUCAGAUGAGCCUAGGUCGGAUUAGCUAGUUGGUGAGGUAAUGGCUCACCAAGGCUACGAUCCGUAACUGGUCUGAGAGGAUGAUCAGUCACACUGGAACUGAGACACGGUCCAGACUCCUACGGGAGGCAGCAGUGGGGAAUAUUGGACAAUGGGCGAAAGCCUGAUCCAGCCAUGCCGCGUGUGUGAAGAAGGUCUUCGGAUUGUAAAGCACUUUAAGUUGGGAGGAAGGGCAGUUACCUAAUACGUGAUUGUUUUGACGUUACCGACAGAAUAAGCACCGGCUAACUCUGUGCCAGCAGCCGCGGUAAU